UCCCUCUCGGUCAAUGAGACUGUACACUCUCACCGGCCGGGAGGAAUCCCUCUUGGUCAAUGAGAGUGUACAUGAGAGGGUACUCUUUCACCGGCCGAGAGGAAUCCCUCUCGGUCGAUGAGACUGUACACUCUCAUCGACUGAGAGCAA
rnacentral:miRNA from 1 species